GAAACCUAUUUAAAAGCAGGAGCCGAAAUUACUACGCUGAAAGAGAAGAAUAAAUCGUUGAUUGAGGCUCAUGAUGAUUUUAAAAAUGAACGUUCACAGUUUAUUCCAGUGUCAGUGCAUACGUCAAGUGUUAAUGAGUGUAAAAAGUGGUAUGAAGAGUUAAAGCAGCAAUAUGAGACCGAAAAAAUAAAA